rnacentral:lncRNA from 1 species
CACCUAUAGCCGUCAGACCUCUAAGGUUACAACAUCUGUCCAAGCCCCUUAGCUACCUCCAACCAUUGAAUUGCAGCCACCACACCCUAAUGCCCCUCCAUCGCAACCGAAACCAACCACUCUUUUUUUUUAUGACAAGGGAAACCCGCAGCCGCUACCCUUUGGUGCGCACAGGGUAAAACCCCCGCUCCUAUGCAAUAGCUCGCAAACCACAUAGGAGAGGUAACCCGCACUAGGCAAGCCCGGUGCGACGAGCUCGACCCAGAAGGCAAACCCCUUGCUUUCGCUGGCAAGGGGUUUCGAACUUGAGACCUCCAACAUGGAAGUCUCAAGCCCAAACCACUGGGCCACCCCGAA